UCUGGUGAUUUUAGCGAGGUGGAACUACCCUUUCCCAUUCCGAACAGGGACGUAAAACGCCUCAGCGCCAACGAUAGUUAUCCGGCAACGGAUCGCGAAAAUAGGUCAUCGCCAGAA
rnacentral:rRNA from 3 species